rnacentral:rRNA from 1 species
AGAACGAACGCUGGCGGCAUGCCUAACACAUGCAAGUCGAACGAGAAAGUGGAGCAAUCCAUGAGUAAAGUGGCGCACGGGUGAGUAACACGUGACUAACCUACCCUUGAGUGGGGAAUAACCUCGGGAAACCGGGCUAAUACCGCAUAACACCUACGGGUCAAAGGAGCAAUUCGCUUAAGGAGGGGUCGCGGCAGAUUAGUUAGUUGGCGGGGUAAUGGCCCACCAAGACGGUGAUCUGUAUCC